rnacentral:lncRNA from 1 species
GGGGUCGGCCUUGCUCCCCUCACUCCAUGGCCAGCCGCUGCAUCAUCCCCUGCCCUGGGCCACCUGCCCUGGACGUGGGCCACAGUGCCAGAGAGAGGGACCCUUGCAGACCUCAGUCCAUCUGGCAAACACUUCACCAUCGCCCUCUCCAUGAAGCCUUCCGGCCCACCUUCCAGGAUGACGUGAGCUGGUGCCCUUGCUGCGAGGCUGUCUUCCCCCAUCAGCACAAGUGUGAGAUUCCCUCAGGGCAGACCCACAUGCUACUUGGGCCUGGUACAAGUGUCUGAUGUCAGGCUGGGCACUGUGGCUUCACACCUAUAAUCCCAGCACUUUGGGAGGCCGAGGAGGGCGGAUCACCUGAGGUCAGGAGUUCGAGACCAGCCUGGCCAAAUGGUGAAACCCCACCUCUACUAAAAAUACAAAAAUUAGCCGGGCAUGGUGGUGCAUGCCUGUAAUCCCAGUUACUCGGGAGGCUGAGGCAGGAG